AAGCUGAAUUAGUGAGGAUGACUCCUGCUCCUGUCAUCUCUAAGCUCCUCACACAUCUUUACCUGCACAUGAGGAAAAUCACUCCUGUAGAAUGCAGAUGUUCAGAGGGAGAUGAUGCCACAUCUGGUCCAGCUGAUGGAAGGUCUUGAAGUUCUCUGACUGGCCUCGACUGAAGAUGGUCGUCUCACUGGAUUUAAGGUUCAGAUGCUCAGUAACAAACUCCACCAAUGUGCCAACAGGGAAGCUUUAGGUUUAUUAAAUGUUGCUAUGAAGGUUUCGCUGUUUUUCUUAGUGAAUGCAAUGUGCUCCAACUGAAACUUGAAUUAGAACUUAGAAGUAAAUCAUUUCAUCUGAAAGGAUUUAGUUGCAUUAAUAACCUCAUAACAUUCUAAUUUUUAUUCCAGUCUUGGUUGGAAAUAGAAUCUCUGUAUUGAUUCAGGUAAAAACUGAACUUCACAGCAUGUUGGAGCAAAACAACCAGAUGAAAACUGUGAUGGUGUUGGAUUGUCAGACCGUAAUGUUGCAGCUCAAAGCAGCUUUUCUAGCUCAGUUCAUUCUGACAUUCAGCUAUGAAUCAACACAGCAGAUGGUGAUCCAUGCUGUGGAAGUCUCACAUCUCCUGAUUUAAUGGAGCUGCUUUGCACUUUUUACACUGUUUAUUCACCAACACUUUAUUUAAUAAAAGUCCCAUCUAGUUUUUAUGAGGAAUGUGAUGUUUUAAUUUCUCUGUGAAUAACUGCAGUCUAAUGCAACAGCUGGAGUUGUAACAUCUGUCCUGAUAUUGAUCAUGAAGUAUUGAUCAGAAUACUUAUGGUCAGCAGUCAUCCCUGAAGUUUUACAUUAAAAUCUUUACUUGUGUUGUGAACUUUGGUAAGAAGCAGAAACUUUAGCGUUGCCAUGGAUACAUGAGUGUUAAAUUCUGUCCAUGUUUCCAUUUUGGGAAAUUCAGUCCAGUUCCAGAAUGUGGAGGAAUUUAGUCUCAUCAUCACAGACAACAAAUAUUAUCUGAAAGUCGGGUUAUUGUUGUUUAUCAGCACAAUACAAAAAGAUUAAUGUUAGAAAUAUUCCAGUUAAGACUCUAGAAUAUCAUGAUUUAUGUAAAUUUACCUCAAUAAUAUGAAUGUUCAGGUUAAGAUUGUACAGUGAUAUUUAUUAUGUAAGUUUAGCUGAUUAAAGUUUGACUCUGCACUAAAAUAUUAUUUAAACUGACAUCAUUAUUAUAAUAUUUAGAGUCACACCCUACAGUAUUGAGAUCAAGAAAUCAAAUAUUCUAUAAAAUGUAAAUACACUGAACUCAUUUGGAUAUAUUUAAGUGAGACUCUACAAUAUUAUUUGACACAAAUCUAUCUAAAACAAAAUUUUAAUAAUUUUCAUGCCAAACAUUUACUGGACUGAUUAAAAUAUUAAAAUCACUCCUUUCUAAUCCUCUGCUGUACGUUCAAACCUGAGGCCUGAAAUAGAAGCACACAAGUAUCUGUUUGAAGGAACUUCUGCAGAGUCCUGGUUCCAGAACAUGAUGAUAGAAUUAUAGACAAACUUUAACAAAAGCUGACUGAGAGUUUACAGGUUUUUAUGUUGGAUUUCUUCAGUAAUUUAAUGAGCGUUAUCAGCAAAAAUCAAGUGUUCAUUUGAUGAACUUCAUUUCCUAAAACAUGCAGAAUUGGAGCUCAUAUCUUUGGCUGCUGUAAAGUUUCUGCUCCUUCAAAGUUCACAACACAAUGAAUUAAUUCCUAAAACACUCUCAGUGCUGGAGAGCGUUUGUGAUGCUGAAGCAGUGAGCAGUUUUUCUGUUUCUUCUCUGGAGAUGCACAAGGAGGGACGUCUGCAGAGACUGAGAAAGAAUCUCACCACAUCCUGACAUGAUAAAAAAAGACUUUAUUGAAGACUACAAUGAGAAAAACUAUCAGACAGCAGACGGCUGCAUUCAAGGUGAGAUCUGAACAUUUGAUCUGGAACAGGAAUUCAAUCACGGCAGCAUGAGCUUCAUUUCAGUCUGUAGCUACUGAAUUCAUGGAUGAAUCAUCUGGCACUAGAGAGGAAGACCAUCAAACAUCCACGUCAGCUGAUGGAGGUCCAAGAGUCUCACCCAACAAACAACCUACAGAGUGAAGACCUCAAAUCUGAUUGGACGGCCUCCUAUUCAGCCACAUUUUAGGCUGUUAGAUUGUUCCAGAUAAGACAAGUACAAGAUUCUUCAGAGCCGUUCUACCAUGAGCCUGACAGGAAGAACUCCAACAGCUACUGAAUGUUCCUGUGGUUCCCUCAAGGCUACAGGAGGAGCCCUACGAGGACGAGCCGGUCCACCUGAUGGUGGCCAGUCGCUGUGGUUCAAAGCCAACACCGACUACGUGGACUUCUACUGGACCACACGGAGGCCUUCAAACCGGACCAACAAGUUCACCGACUCCCCGACUCGUGGGUCUGAGGAUGCCGCCGAGCCUCGGUCCAGCCGGCCUCCUGUCUGUGGGUGUUUGAGUGCUGAGAGGUUUGUGG
ensembl:lncRNA